rnacentral:tRNA from 1 species
UGGCUCAGUUGGUAGAGCAUGGUGUUUGUAACAUCAGGGUUGUGGGUUUGAUUCCCAC